GUCUGUUAUUUAAGAGGAUGGCCUCUUCUG
rnacentral:piRNA from 1 species